rnacentral:rRNA from 1 species
UACGGAGGGUGCGAGCGUUAAUCGGAAUAACUGGGCGUAAAGGGCACGCAGGCGGGAUUUUAAGUGAGAUGUGAAAUCCCCGGGCUUAACCUUGGAAUAUCAUUUGAGACUGGGAGUCUAGAGUACUUUAGGGAGGGGUAGAAUUCCACGUGUAGCGGUGAAAUGCGUAGAGAUGUGGAGGAAUACCGAAGGCGAAGGCAGCCCCUUGGUAAGGUACUGACGCUCAUGUGCGAAAGCGUGGGGAGCAAACAGG